AGCGAACGCUGGCGGCAGGCCUAACACAUGCAAGUCGAACGAAGCCUUCGGGCUUAGUGGCGGACGGGUGAGUAACACGUGGGAACGUACCUUUUGGUUCGGAACAACUCAGGGAAACUUGAGCUAAUACCGGAUGAGCCCUUAGGGGGAAAGAUUUAUCGCCGAAAGAGCGGCCCGCGUUAGAUUAGCUAGUUGGUGAGGUAAAGGCUCACCAAGGCUACGAUCUAUAGCUGGUCUGAGAGGAUGAUCAGCCACACUGGGACUGAGACACGGCCCAGGCUCCUACGGGAGGCAGCAGUGGGGAAUCUUGCGCAAUGGGCGAAAGCCUGACGCAGCCAUGCCGCGUGAAUGAUGAAGGUCUUAGGAUUGUAAAAUUCUUUUACCAGGGACGAUAAUGACGGUACCUGGAGAAAAAGCCCCGGCUAACUUCGUGCCAGCAGCCGCCGUAAUAC
rnacentral:rRNA from 1 species